UGUGACCUCCUACCUCUAUAAGAUAGUGUGCAAGAUGAGUACCAAGCCUUUGCUUCCCCUUAACUUUUCUAGAAGUAACACACAUGCACGUCCUCACACACACACACAUACACUCACAAUUUGUGUAGAAUUAUUUUUCACUCUGAUUUCUGCCUGUGGAACAGAUUGAAGAUUUUACCAUCCAAAACCCACAAAGAGAAAACUCCUACUGUGGUCUUCAGAAUUUCCAUUCAGCUGAUUUGCCUGCCAAGUCCAGUGACCAGUACCGCCGCUCCUGAUGGUGGGGAGCAUAUGGUACUGCUGUGAAUAGUUUUGCUCUCACUGCUGUGAAAUCCCACGCCUUCCUACAGAAUGUGUUUGGAGGAGCAAAUGGUUUCAACACACAUGGGAACAAGAUAUAUUCAUGGAAUGUGCCUUUGAACCUGCAUUCAAAAGAACUCAGACAGAGCAGAAAAAUCAAACGCCCAGAGAGGUCAAGAUGUCUGCAAAGAGACACAGAGUGAUGCAAUGGAAAUCCUGUGUGGAGGUCUCCAGAAGGCUAAUUUCUGAAGCAGUGUUCUAUCCACAUGACCGUGCUGCUGCUCAUUAAGAUGGUACCUCUCAUUAAGAUAAAGCAUAAUCAUUAAAAAUCCUUUAGCUUGCUCACAUUAACUACCAUUGUGCGUCACAGGUCUAAUGCUUCAUGAAAGCUCAGAGUGAAUUAGACAUUUUAUUUAAGUGCUACUUAACUAAAAGUUAAAAAGUAUAAUUUUCUAUUGCAGCAUAAGAACUGGAGAGACUAAUUUGGUGUGGUUGUUAAAUUUUACAAAGCCUGAUUCUCAAUUUUCAAAAAAUAUUGUACAUUUAUUUAUUGAAGUGAAUGAAACAUUUGCUAUAAAACUAUUCAACGGAAAGUUUUUUAACAAAGCAUAAUUUACUUUUCAUUUACAGAACAAUGGAAAGUAGAAAGAAAUCUCCUCCAAGGUAUUAGAAUCAUGUACAGUUUCAUAUUUGACUAAAAAAUUAUUUCCCCAGCCUGUUUUCUCAACACUAAGGAUAUGCAGAAAAGUAUCACUUGCAUUCAUCAUGAAAAUUACAGAAAAAUGACUGAAACUACUGAGAACAUUAUUAAAUAAAACAUAUACUUAUUAUCUGU
rnacentral:lncRNA from 1 species